UGCAGAAUCAGGGUUCAACAGACCUGGGGAUCAACUGGAGCAGGAAGCACCCCAAGGCUAGAGGGCAUUUGGAGGUCACCGUGCUCCAGGAAGCAAACCUAAAGCAACCCGUGGGAAGUUCAGUAUGUUGCAGAACAAAAGAGACAAUAUUUAUCAGGGCCCGCGGUUGGGAGGAUGAAGAACAAGG
rnacentral:lncRNA from 1 species